rnacentral:rRNA from 1 species
ACGCACGCUGGCGGCAGGCUUCACCCCUGCAAGUCGAGCGAGACCUUCGGGUCUAGCGGCGGACGGGUGAGUAACGCGUGGGAACGUGCCCUUCUCUACGGAAUAGCCCCGGGAAACUGGGAGUAAUACCGUAUACGCCCUUUGGGGGAAAGAUUUAUCGGAGAAGGAUCGGCCCGCGUUGGAUUAGGUAGUUGGUGGGGUAAUGGCCCACCAAGCCGACGAUCCAUAGCUGGUUUGAGAGGAUGAUCAGCCACACUGGGACUGAGACACGGCCCAGACUCCUACGGGAGGCAGCAGUGGGGAAUCUUAGACAAUGGGGGCAACCCUGAUCUAGCCAUGCCGCGUGAGUGAUGAAGGCCUUAGGGUUGUAAAGCUCUUUCAGCUGGGAAGAUAAUGACGGUACCAGCAGAAGAAGCCCCGGCUAACUCCGUG